rnacentral:rRNA from 1 species
UACGAGAGGCCCAAACGUUAUUCGGAAUUACUGGGCUUAAAGAGUUCGUAGGCGGCGCAGAAAGUAGGGUGUGAAAGCCCUCGGCUCAACCGAGGAAUUGCGCUCUAAACUACUGUGCUUGAGGAAGCUAGAGGUGAGCGGAACUGAUGGUGGAGCGGUGAAAUGCGUUGAUAUCAUCAGGAACACCGGAGGCGAAGGCGGCUCACUGGGGCUUUUCUGACGCUGAGGAACGAAAGCCAGGGGAGCAAACGGG